rnacentral:rRNA from 1 species
CGGCACGGGUGCGUAACGCGUAUGCAACCUACCAUCAACAGGGGGAUAACACUGAGAAAUUGGUACUAAUACCCCAUAAUAUCUCAUGCGGCAUCGCAUGGGGUUGAAAACUCCGGUGGUUGAUGAUGGGCAUGCGUUGUAUUAGCUGGUUGGUGAGGUAACGGCUCACCAAGGCGACGAUACAUAGGGGGACUGAGAGGUCAACCCCCCACAUUGGUACUGAGACACGGACCAAACUCCUACGGGAGGCAGCAG